rnacentral:lncRNA from 1 species
ACAAUAAUUCUCGUUGCUUUUAUAAUAUUUAGGUAGAACCACUGAACUCACAUUAAAUGUUUUUAGUACCUUUAUGGAUCUUGAGAGAGGAAAUGUCAUUGCUUUGAAUGCAGGCCUCACUAUGCCAUCAGAUUUAAUCAAAAUAUCUUAAUUUGUGUUCCGAAGUUGAAUGAAGGCCUUAGGGGUGUAGAACAACAUGAGGGUGAGUAAUUAAUGACAGAAUUUUCAUUUUUGGGUGAACUAACCCUUUAAUAUAUAAGAAAUUGACAGGAUUUUUGUUACAUUUUAGAUUUCUUCCCUUGCAACUGUUGGGGGCCAUGACACAAAACGUGUCACAUGGAACAUCCUUCCCUGCAUGUUCCAUGAUGACGUUGGGAGGAGGAUCAACUGGAAGGGUGUGAAUGGGAAAAAAGCAUUCAACCAGAUGGAGUCCAAGAAGUUCCUCCUGUGUGCUGUGAGAAAGAGCCAUGUAUCACGUGCCGCCACUGAUGAUGAAAUUACAAAACACACAAAACGGUGGUUCAGCCUGGCAGCUGAUAGGGGAAGCUCAAGGAACCGUCCCACUGUGAGCACCCAGCAGUAGAGUUUUUCAGAGUUUCAUUGGUAACUUCAGUGUUUUGAAGUGUUCAUUUAAAAUAGCAACAGUUACAAUAAAAUAAAGGUACAAGGUUACUAUUUUAGAUAAAUGUUUUUUAUUGUUUUGUUUCCAUUCAAAGAAUCUAUUUGUUUCUAUUUUUCUAUUCAAAGAAUAUUUAAAAAAAUCCAGUUUAUACAAAAAUAAAAUAAAAAAUUAAGCAGUACAACUGUUUACAAAAAAAUGUUGCUCAAAUAUUUACUCUUCUUAAUGUUGUAAAGUCUUAUUUUUCAUUAAAUAAAAAAUGUUUUUGGUACAAUUUAUGGUCGCAUUUCAUUUUCUGUAAUAAUUCUAUUCAAUACCUAUUAAUGUACAUAAAUAAUUAAACUAUAAAAGUAAUAAUAGUAAUUACAGAUUGUAAAUACAUUUACAGACUAUUUUUAUAGUUUUAUUGUAACUGGCUAAAGGUCUGAAAGAUUUCAUCAUGUUUUAUUAAUAUUAAUAAAGGCAAACAUUAAAUAUUCAUGCUUUUAUAGAGCAAUCCAGUCUAUCUGAUGUUGAUCCAUUUAGAUUUUAAAUAUUUCUGUGUAGCGAGUUGUGGCCAGAAUACUAGUUCGAGAGUGAUCUGAAAGGUAUCCAGACCAAAUGACCCACUUAAUAAACGGGUCCAGAUCGGAUCUGCGGCGGAUCAGGUGCUUAAUAAAUACCUCUGGGGCGGAUCCGUUGCGGAGUCAGUUUGCUAUCUGGGUUAUAUUUGAAAAGAGAAGUAACUUGUGUUUUGUGCUUAAAAGUUAAUGUCUUAAACUGCCAAUAUUGUAACUGUGCUAAUUAAUAGUGUUUUCACUUUACUUUUGAAAAUUUAUAUACAUUGUAGAGCUGAAGUUACACGACUCGUUCAAUGAAUCGUGGGUCGACUCAGUGAUCAGCUGUAAAACAGUGAUUCUGUCCAAAUUCCCUUUAAAAUCUUAAAUGAUUCCCUUUGAGCUAAAUUGACCUGUUUCCCUUACAUUGUCUUCAUUUUUAAGUAAUUUUACUGUAUAGUUUUGGAGAAAACUAAAAGCAAAUUCACCCAAAACAUCAAACUCCAUUAUUGCACUUGGAUUGUUUCCACAUAUUCCAACUACUCAUUAAAAAGUGUCCUUUUAUAGGUUAGCUAAUUCUAUCAAUUCAUAUGUAUUCAGAGUGACUCUGAAUAUCACUCUAUUCAUUUUCAAGGCAUUUUACUGUAUAGUUUUGGAGAAAACUAAAAGCAAAAUCAUGCAUAACAACAAAAUCCGUCCUACCACUUGCACUGUGUCCCAUUUUCCAACCCUUUUUCAAAUAUUUUUACUGUAUAAUUUUGGAGAAAAUUAAUAAGUGUAUAAACACUUUUACAUCAUGUCCCAUUUUCAAACCUUCAUAAAAAUCUUUCUUUUACAGAUCUGUUCGUUCUUUUUAUUGAUUCCUGUUUACAGUUGCCCUGACUAUUACUGUAUUCAUAUUCAUUAAAAAGAAAAAUAACUCUAUGGUUUUGAAGAAAAUCAAUGACAAAUUCACUCAUUAUAUUUAAUUCAUAUCAUUGUUUGCUCAUUAUUUCAAUUGAUUCCUGUUCACAGUGUCCCUGACCAUUGCUAUUUUAAUUUUCAAGUCUUUUUACUGUAUGGUUUUGGAGAAAAUUAAAGGCAAAUUCAC